rnacentral:rRNA from 1 species
AGUGAACGCUGGCGGUAGGCCUAACACAUGCAAGUCGAACGGCAGCACAGUAAGAGCUUGCUCUUACGGGUGGCGAGUGGCGGACGGGUGAGGAAUACAUCGGAAUCUACUUUUUCGUGGGGGAUAACGUAGGGAAACUUACGCUAAUACCGCAUACGACCUACGGGUGAAAGCAGUGGAUCUUCUGACCUUGCGCGAUUGAAUGAGCCGAUGUUGGAUUAGCUAGUUGGCGGGGUAAAGGCCCACCAAGGCGACGAUCCGUAGCUGGUCUGGGAGGAUGAUCAGCCACACUGGAACUGAGACACGGUCCAGACUCCUACGGGAGGCAGCAGUGGGGAAUAUUGGACAAUGGGCGCAAGCCUGAUCCAGCCAUACCGCGUGUGUGACGAAGGCCUUCGGGUUGUAAAGCCCUUUUGUUGGGAAAGAAAAGCAGCAGGUUAAUACCCCGCUGUUCUGACGGUACCCAAAGAAUAAGCACCGGCUAACUUCGUG